AGUCUAACACCCCGAAACUGAAUGAGCUACUCCAAGACAGCCUUUAUAGGGCACAUCCGUCUCUGUGGCAAAAGAGUGGAAAGAGCUUUGAGUAGAGGUGAUAAACCUUCCGAGUUCAGUUAUAGCUGGUUGCCCGAGAACUGAGUAUAAGCUCAGCCUUUUGGCUUCUUAACUCCAUAACUAUUUAUAUUAACCCGCCUUUAAGAAACCAAAAGAGUUAAUCAAAGGGGGUACAGCCCCUUUGAUACAAGAAACAACUUUUAACAGGAGGAUAAGGAUCAUAAAAAAUCAAGGCACCGCGCUUAAGUAGGCUUAGAAGCAGCCACCACAAGAAAGCGUUAAAGCUCUAGCACAUCCCUGCCACAAAUACCAAUAAAACACUCCUAACCCCUUCCCCUACCGGGCUUUUCUAUGCUUCCAUAGAAGAAAUUAUGCUAAAAUGAGUAAUAAGGGGCCGACCCCCUCCAAGCACAAGUGUACAUCAGAACGAACCCCCACCGAAAUUCAACGGACCCAACCAAAGAGGGAAAUAAAUAUUAAAUUCACAACAAGAAAAACAUUUAACACUUUUCCGUUACCCCUACACUGGUGUGCCAAAUAGGAAAGACUAAAAGAAAAAGAAGGAACUCGGCAAACUCAAA
rnacentral:rRNA from 1 species